rnacentral:rRNA from 1 species
UACGUAGGGUGCAAGCGUUAAUCGGAAUUACUGGGCGUAAAGCGUGCGCAGGCGGUUAUGUAAGACAGAUGUGAAAUGCCCGGGCUUAACCUGGGAACUGCAUUUGUGACUGCAUGGCUAGAGUUUGGCAGAGGGGGGUAGAAUUCCACGUGUAGCAGUGAAAUGCGUAGAUAUGUGGAGGAACACCGAUGGCGAAGGCAGCCCCCUGGGUCAAGACUGACGCUAAUGCCCGAAAGCGUGGGGAGCAAACAGG